rnacentral:rRNA from 1 species
ACGCGAAAGCCCCCUUCGGGGGGCAAGUAGAGUGGCGCACGGGUGAGUAACACGUAGGUAAUCUACCUUUGGAUGGGGAAUAACCACCGGAAACGGUGGCUAAUACCGCAUAAUGCAGCGGCACCUAAUGGUGACAGUUGUUAAAGCGGGGGAUCGCAAGACCUCGCGUCUAAAGAGGAGCCUGCGGCGGAUUAGCUAGUUGGUAAGGUAACGGCUUACCAAGGCGAUGAUCCGUAGCCGGCCUGAGAGGGCGGUCGGCCACACUGACACUGACAUACGGGUCAGACUCCUACGGGAGGCAGCAGUCGGGAAUUUUGGGCAAUGGGCGAAAGCCUGACCCAGCAACGCCGCGUGAAGGAUGAAAUCCUUCGGGAUGUAAACUUCGCAAGAACGGGAAGAAUAAGCCGGUGUCAACACCACCGGCGAUGACGGUACUGUUUGUAAGCUCCGGCUAACUCCGUGCCAGCAGCCGCGGUAAUACGGGGGGAGCAAGCGUUG